rnacentral:rRNA from 1 species
GUGGGGGAUAUUGCACAAUGGGGGAAACCCUGAUGCAGCGACGCCGCGUGAAGGAAGACGUACUUCGGUAUGUAAACUUCUAUCAGCAGGGAAGAAGAUGACGGUACCUGACUAAGAAGCCCCGGCUAACUACGUGCCAGCAGCCGCGGUAAUACGUAGGGGGCAAGCGUUAUCCGGAUUUAAUGGGGGUAAAGGGAGCGUAGACGGUGAAGCAAGUCUGAUGUGACAACCCGGGGCUCAACGCCGGGAUUGCAUUGGAAACUGUUUUACUUGAGUGCUGGAGGGGCAAGCGGAAUUCCUGGUGUAGCGGUGAAAUGCGUAGAUAUUAGGAGGAACACCAGUGGCGAAGGCGGCUUUCUGGACUGUAACUGACACUGAGGCACGAAAGCGUGGGGAGCAAACAGGAUUAGAAACCCCUGUAGUCC